rnacentral:rRNA from 1 species
GCCAUAGCAAACUCCGAAUACCCGGAAGUAUGAGCACGGCAGACAGACGUCGGGUGCUAACGUCCGACGUCAAGAGGGAAACAACCCAGACCGCCAGCUAAGGUCCCAAAGUACCGCUAAGUGGGAAACGAAGUGGGAAGGCUAAAACAGUCAGGAGGUUGGCUUAGAAGCAGCCACCCUUUAAAGAAAGCGUAAUAGCUCACUGAUCGAGUCGUCCUGCGCGGAAGAUGUAACGGGGCUAAGCGGUACACCGAAGCUGCGGAUUUGCCGAAAGGCAAGUGGUAGGGGAGCGUUCUGUAAGUCUGUGAAGGUGAGCCGUAAGGCUUGCUGGAGAUAUCAGAAGUGCGAAUGCUGACAUGAGUAGCGUUAAAGCGGGUGAAAAGCCCGCUCGCCGUAAGCGCAAGGUUUCCUACGCAACGUUCAUCGGCGUAGGGUGAGUCGGCCCCUAAGGUGAGGCAGAGAUGCGUAGCUGAUGGGAAACAGGUCAAUAUUCCUGUACCGAUCAAUAGUGCGAUGUGGGGACGGAGAAGGUUAGCUCAGCCAACUGUUGGAAUAGUUGGUUCAAGCCUGUAGUCGUGCCUGGUAGGCAAAUCCGCCGGGCUGAGAUGAGGGGUGAUAACGAGUCUGCUUGCAGACGAAGUGAGUGAUACCCUGCUUCCAGGAAAAGCCACUAAGCUUCAGCUAUUGACGACCGUACCGCAAACCGACAC